rnacentral:rRNA from 1 species
GACGUAGGGCGCGAGCGUUGUCCGGAUUUAUUGGGCGUAAAGAGCUCGUAGGCGGCUCGUCGCGUCGGUUGUGAAAACCCGCAGCUUAACUGUGGGCCUGCAGCCGAUACGGGUGGGCUAGAGUUCGGUAGGGGAGACUGGAAUUCCUGGUGUAGCGGUGAAAUGCGCAGAUAUCAGGAGGAACACCGGUGGCGAAGGCGGGUCUCUGGGCCGAUACUGACGCUGAGGAGCGAAAGCGUGGGGAGCGAACAGG